CGCUAUCUGAUGAGCCUCUGCCUUUUGGUUCUCUUGGAACAAGACGGCAAAGAGUCACUUUGACCGUCGCGCAUACCUUAAGCGGGUCUGCCGCCUUCGUUUCUCUUUCUUCAGCGAAUGACUUUGAUUUGCGCUCGCGCGCCGUGUCGCACCCUUCGGGUGCUGGCGCUCCGCGAGGGCGCGGCACGAGCCGCGACGGCCUGUCGGCCUUGCGAGGCUCUGCCUCGAUGCCGGCUACCAUCUGCGCUUGGGGCUUAGGGCUUGUAGCUCAGUUGGUUAGAGCGCGCGCUUGAUAAGCGUGAGGUCGGAGGUUCAAGUCCUCCCAGGCCCACCAUCUCUGAUGGAAGCUAGGUAGCUUCCUGUCUCCUCUACAAAGGUAUCAGGGGCCGUAGCUCAGCUGGGAGAGCGCCUGCUUUGCAAGCAGGAUGUCGUCGGUUCGAUCCCGUCCGGCUCCACCAUUACCUUUGGUGUCGAGUAGAGAUGAGGCGUCAGAAAAAGUCAUUCGUAAAAAGGUUUUGUGGUGAGCAUCUAGCUUGCCGCUUGUUCUGUUUGACAUUGUAAAGAGAAGAUUUGUUCGAACUUCAUGAGCUUGAAAAGGUUUGUGAUUUGUCGCUGGAGACGCUCAAUCUCCCGCAUAUGAUGGGCUUGCCUAACCGCACCCUCGAACCGAUCUCGAGAAGCUGGUCUUUUUGUGCCAAUGACAUCGAAUUGGAUCCCGCACAGGAUCCGGUUCAGGCGACAAUCUCUUCGGGAUUGCGCGGACGCUAACCUCGCAAGGGGAAGGCUGAAGCGACAGUCCCUUCGGGAUUGCGCGGGUGGGCAUUGGCAAUGAGAACGAUCAAGUGUCUUAAGGGCAAUUGGUGGAUGCCUUGGCAUGCACAGGCGAUGAAGGACGUGAUACGCUGCGAUAAGCUACGGGGAGGUGCGAAU
rnacentral:misc_RNA from 1 species